AGUGUGCGCAAAGAACGGGGCUGAUUAUUCGGUGAAGUUAGCCCGCAAAAUAUAUUCCAGAGACUUUGUACAAUGUAAGAGAUAGAUGACUUUGAGAAAAGUACAGACUGCCACCCACAGAGUGAAAACAAUUCCUACAUAGUUCCUUUAACAUCCUCCCUGAGUUGGAGAGGAUGUGUGAAGCGUGUAUACCCCGGAGGCAGCAGCAGCGUACGCUCCGAAAAAGAAGUUCAUUUUCAUCAUCAUUGCAGUGAAGUGAGCGUGUGAGGAGGUGUCACACCGUAUCUCCAGUCGGCAGCGCUAUCGCCAUCUGGGCAUUAAGCAUGCGUCAUACAUUGUCACGCUACACAUGUGUACACACAAUCGGUAAAGCUCCAAUGACACUGGGAACACAACGUUGCACCAAGGUAUAAUCAUCUCAUCUACAUUCAGACAACCUGAGAAAAACAUUGGUGGGCUUGACAGGUUUUAAGUGGGGAAGGAACACCGAAUGCAGAACAAUUAACAGGAAGAAUUGUAACUUGAAAGCCAUUCCUUUGGAGCAGAUUGGAGAUCUGCAAUGACGUGCCUGAUAAUUGUAAAAGCAACGGGAGACUUAUGAUCGCUUGGUGGCAACAGACUCAUCAGGUAAAUUUCAAUUGUUUAUGCCCUUCUGAGUACGCUCACAUUUCCAAGAACGAUGGAAUUACCUGGUAAGUCUGCUGCCACCUAGA